ensembl:lncRNA
CACAUGCUCUUUGAGAAACAAUUUGCAUUUUACAUGCCAUGCUCAUGCUCAUGAGUUUGGUUUUUAUUUUCUGUUUCAAGUUUUGAAUGUUCAAAUGCACACAACAGGAUGUGGUAUCUGAGCAAUGAGUAGUCAGGCAUGCUAUCUCUCACUAAAGUGUUCAGGGCAAUCCUUCCUGUACGGAAAAACAAAACUGUACUGUAAGACCAGUUUUUAACUUCAGUUCCUAAAGAAAAGCACCAACAUCACAGCACGCCUAUGUUUUCUCCUGCCAGCUCAUAUAGGCUAAAGAACAAACAAGUAACGACCCUACGAUACAGAUGUAGUGGGGUUUUCUCAGAUGAAAUAAUUCACCUUUGUUAAAAGUGAUGAUGUCGGACACAAAUGAUGGAGGCAGCAAUUUAACGAUCUUCAUUCUCUGCUUCAUCCUGGUCGUCCUUGUUCUUCUCCUGUUGUACCUCUACAAGCGACUGAACAAUGAAACAAAGGAUGAAUAUACCAUCCAGCGGCUUGUCUUCAGUGAGGGAGGCCUUCGUGAUCGUGUGAGGCAAGGCAUUGCAGAGGUCCAGACCAGGAUAGGUGACCUGCAUAAGGUCUCAACCCCUUGAUGAAGAGCAAGCUUUGAGCAAUAAUGAAGAUGGGAAUAGUGGCAGAGAAGAAGAACGAGACGAAGAAGAAGAUGCAGGACAAGGUCAAAGGGAAAAUGAGAACAAGACAGAAGAGAAAGAAGAGGAACAUCAAGAUCAUGAUUCAUCAGACGACUAUUCCAGCAUUGACCUAAGGGAGAGAGUAAAGCAGAAUAACAGCAAUGAAGAGGAAAUGAAAGAAGAUGAACAAGAGAAACAAGAGGUGGCAAAAGAUGAAGGAAAAAGAGAUGACAAUAAACAAGAGGAAGAUGUGAAGAAUGAAGAAAGGGUUGGCUUACUUGUAGACUUGAAGGCAUUCUCUGGCAGUGCCAUUUGGUCUGAGGAGAAAAAGGAAGAGACUAAUGUGACAGCUUUGUGAAAUAUAGAAGGCUUUAGCCUAAAUAUGAGGCUCAUUAGAAGAAAAGUCUAGACUUGACGAUGUUUGUCUUGCGAUGAGUGAUUUACCUUUGUCAUUCUUAAAAACCUGAUGCAUCCAUAAUAUCCAUAAGAUAGUUUAUUAUUUUUCUUAUCCAUGGCUUAUUUUAUUAGCAUGUUUUCUGUAAUGGCUGACUUUUUUGUUAUUAGAAUAUUUUUUUCAUAAAAACUGUACAUUUACUUCAAAAUAAAUACCAUUAAAUCAUUCAUUUUGAUUUUUUUUUUAAUGCUAUGAAGCUUCAGACUAAAAUAAAGGCCUAGCGUUUAGCCAUAUUAUUCCCCAAAUGGAAACUGAAUACACGACCAUCUCUUGUUAAUGUUGAUCAGUUUAUUUGCUUGCUUUUGUGCCACACAACAUAUGAACAACGCACAAUAAAAUACAUGCAUGUAGUAUGAUAGAAUAUAAUAGGAUCAACUAUUUAUUGAUGUCAGUAAGCUAUACGGUCGAUGAAAAUAAAAACACCA